rnacentral:rRNA from 1 species
GACGAACGCUGGCGGCGUGCUUAACACAUGCAAGUCGAACGGAGCACCCUUGAUUGAGGUUUCGCCAAAUGAUAGGAAUGCUUAGUGGCGGACUGGUGAGUAACGCGUGAGGAACCUGCCUUUCAGAGGGGGACAACAGUUGGAAACGACUGCUAAUACCGCAUGACGCAUUUUGAUCGCAUGGUCGAAAUGCCAAAGAUUUAUCGCUGAAAGAUGGCCUCGCGUCUGAUUAGCUAGUUGGUGAGGUAACGGCCCACCAAGGCGACGAUCAGUAGCCGGACUGAGAGGUUGACCGGCCACAUUGGGACUGAGAUACGGCCCAGACUCCUACGGGAGGCAGCAGUGGGGAAUAUUGGGCAAUGGGCGCAAGCCUGACCCAGCAACGCCGCGUGAAGGAAGAAGGCUUUCGGGUUGUAAACUUCUUUUAAGUGGGUAAGAGUAGAAGACGGUACC